CCUCAUUUGCCUUUACAGCAAAUAGUUAAAAGGCUUUCUGAAAGAGACCCUCAGACACCCCAAAUCGACAAAGGCCACAAAUUCAUGCACCUCCAUCAUGAUGGUCCAUUGGUGCCUCAUUUGGGACAUGGGGAUCAGUAUAGAAAGGUUGUAACUAAACAUUUCACCUUGUCAUGUAGGUUUGGGGAUAAUUGCAUCCAGAUAGUUGAGGACAUCGCUCUUGUUGACAACAUAGUAAAAGUAGCUGAGGAAACAUAUGUGAUCUUCCGGAAAUUUACAAAGAAGGAAUCUUAUGUCCAAUACCCCUUCGAAUCAGCCAACAUUGGCUGUUACAAAGUGUGGGACUUAAGCAGCGGUGUCGGUGUUGUAAAGCUCCAAAUAAUAAAAAACAAAUAUAUACUUUUCCCCGAUAAAAAAGAGUUCAUAGCCAUUCCCCUCAUACAUACAAAGUAAAUAUUUUUUCUAAAAAUUCAUAAAAAUCAGUUCAUAAAAAGCAGUUCAUAAAAAGCAGUUCAUAAAAAUCAAAAAUCAGUUCAUAAAAAUCAGUUCAUGUGUUAAUAACCAUCAUCUUUACCAUAAAAAAAUAGCAUGAAGCAGUGGUGCCUUGUAAGGUUCAACAGUGGUGGAACAGAAGUGGUGCCACACAUAUGGCUUCAGGGGGAGAAGGUUUUCUGGCCUCCAUACCCUCCAAAGGAGUCUGGCAAGGUCCGUGCUGCCAUCAGGAGGAGGGAGGAACCAAAUGAAAAUUGGCAGACUUAUGAGCCUGUCAGGGUCCUCAUAAGCCGAGAUAACUUUGAGGAAGCUGAGAGGUGCCUGGAGAGAUAUGUGAAGCAGCAAUGUGACACCACCGAUAUCCAGUCAGAGGAGGAGUGCCAACAGCCUCUGAAAAGGAGAAAGAAACCAAACCCAAUCUACCAAAAUUUGGAUGACUCUGAGGAAGAUCAACCUCGGAGUAAAUAUCCUCGAGCUCCAAAAAUGUUGUUCCCAG